AGAGUUUGAUCCUGGCUCAGAUUGAACGUUGGCGGCAGGCCUAAAACAUGUAAGUCGAACGGUAACAGCGGAAGCUUGCUUCCGGCUGACGAGUGGCGGACGGGUGAGUAACACGUAGGAAUCUACCUAGUAGUGGGGGACAACCCGGGGAAACCCGGGCUAAUACCGCAUACGCUCUACGGAGGAAAGCAGGGGAUCUUCGGACCUUGCGCUAUUGGAGGAGCCUGCGUCGGAUUAGCUAGUUGGUGGGGUAAAGGCCUACCAAGGCGACGAUCCGUAGCUGGUCUGAGAGGACGAUCAGCCACACUGGAACUGAGACACGGUCCAGACUCCUACGGGAGGCAGCAGUUAGGAAUCUUGGGCAAUGGGCGCAAGCCUGACCCAGCCAUGCCGCGUGUGUGAAGAAGGCCUUCGGGUUGUAAAGCACUUUCAGCGGUGAAGAAAAGCUCAGGGCCAAUAUCCUUGAGUCUUGACGUUAACCGCAGAAGAAGCACCGGCUAACUCCGUGCCAGCAGCCGCGGUAAUACGGAGGGUGCGAACGUUAAUCGGAAUCACUGGGCGUAAAGCGCGCGUAGGCGGUUUGUUAAGUGGGAUGUGAAAGCCCCGGGCUUAACCUGGGAAUUGCAUUUCAAACUGGCGAACUAGAGUGCGGUAGAGGGAGGUAGAAUUUCCUGUGUAGCGGUGAAAUGCGUAGAUAUAGGAAGGAAUACCAGUGGCGAAGGCGGCCUCCUGGAUCGACACUGACGCUAAGGCGCGAAAGCGUGGGGAGCAAACAGGAUUAGAUACCCUAGUAGUCC
rnacentral:rRNA from 1 species